AAAAUUGAUUGUGCUUUGUCUGGCUCACUUGAGUGGAACCCACUUCUGAAUAGCCCUGGACCAGGGAACUCACUUCUGAUGGAUGGAUGAUGAAUGGAUGAGGAUGGUGCUUUACCAGAAAAGUCAUAAAAUUGUCGGAGCAUGAGCCUGCUGGGUUUCAUAGAAAGGACUGAAAAGUUAAAAUCUUUUUUAUCAUUGAUUUACUAUUUUAAGUAUGUUUGCAAUAAAAAAAAAUAUUGUUUAUAGUAUAUUUUCUUUUGUAUAUCCUUUACCUGUCCUUGUGGUUUUUUUUCCAGGUAUUUCAAUUUGUCUUUCUGGAUUUAUGCAGGGGACAGCAUGAGGCUGUUCAAUUUCAUCUUCUGAAAUUUCAGAGAUAUAUUUUGUUUUUGUGUUGUUGGCUCUAUAUUUGAUGAAUUUGUUUCAUCAUUAUUCUGAAUAUAUUCAGAAUUGUUAGUGUUCUGAAUAUUUUCAGAAUUACAUGUAUUCUGAAUGUUCUCAUAAUUGCAUCUAUUCUAAGAAUUUUCAAAAUUA
rnacentral:lncRNA from 1 species